rnacentral:tRNA from 1 species
AGCAUUGUGGUUCUGUGGUUAAGAACCCAGACUCUGAAGCCAGUCUGCCCUGGGUUCGAAUCCCAGCUCUGCCA